AUGAUACCAGAUCAGACUUAUAGACAAAAACAAGUCAACGGCUAUCAACUACGAGGAUGUGGAGCAAACAAGCUACUUCUUCUUUUUAUUUUGAGGCAAACAAGAUGGAUCAUGAUAUCAGGUCAAGCGAAAGCCCGCCUGGCCUUGAUAGGGCCAGACAACACGGCCCAACGUGUUCAUGGCCCAGACCGGCCAGAGAGAAAAUCGACCCCGGCCCGUCCCCUUCCUCCGCCGCACUGCCCGCCGGAUGCUGCCGCUCCGGUGGACCAUAUCCCCACUUCUGAUGGAUUCCGGUCGUCCCCGCGCUCCUCUGGCAGGCCGCCGCUCUUCCGUCUCCGGUAG
rnacentral:rRNA from 1 species